GUGGUUGUUCAGUUCAAAUUGCAGUACUGAGCAGUGUACUGUUGACCAUGACACCACACAAUAGUGAUACUGGUGCUCACCGACAGGACCUAGCAAGUUAUUGGGCUCCCUGUGCGAUGGUUCCAUACACA
ensembl:scaRNA